UGCCGGUGUUCCGGCGCCCAGCCAUGGGAGCCCUGAGCGCAGGCUUCGGGGACGACGGGGAGCCGCCUCGGCGGCUAUGGCGCCUCCAAGGCUCCAACCCCCCAGGCCCCGGCUGCUGGGGGAUGUGGGCGGCGAUUGCUCCCGCAGAGAUGAGGUCGGCGGCGAGCGGGGAUAAAAUGUUGCACUGUCCGCAUGGAAGCCUUUCAACCCUCAAAUGUUCAUCUUUGCUGGCUUAUUCGUUUAGGCAACCCUCAUUUAGCUGCCUCUUUUUUGUUAAGGAAAAAAAGAAGCUUUGAGUUCAAUUCCUGCUAGAAUCUUUCAUCGAACUGUGAUACCAGCCGAUUCACAAUUAUUAUCUGUUUAUUCUUUUAUUUGGAAUGGUAUGACAAGUCAUUGCUGAAGAGAAUAAAGGAACAGAACGCAGUGCCGCCACCACUUCAUCAUGUAGGGGUGCUGUCUAGUGCAUAGAUGUCAAUUCAGUUAUAAAAAGUUCUUAGGUUCUUCUUGAUUGAGGUAUUAAAAAAUCUUUAUAGAUUUCCAUAAGUGGUGGAGCCAAGUACAGGUUUGUGCAUUCUUCUGUUAUGGUCAAAUGCCAUCAUGCCUGCUUGGCAACAUGCGCAAGUGGUAGAGGAGUCAAGACAGCUUGGUGACAAUUUUCUGCUCCCAGACAAGGCCAUGAUAUUUGCUUGACACCUAGCUAAGUUAGUGGAAUCUCGUAGCUGUUCCAGCCAAUGGUAAGUGCAUAUCAGCUUGGCAAUAUCGGCUGUUCCAGCCAUUGGUAAGGCCAUGGUUAGCUGCUCCAUGGGUAGGAAAAUCUCUAUUUUCGGGAAAUUGGGCCAGUUUAGCGAUAUCACUUUAGGGCUUUCUCAUCCCUACAUCAAAUGAUUUGCAUUGGUUUCUCUCCUUUUUUUUUCUCUCCACUGAUUUCAGUGAUUUUCAAGUUUCUUUCCAGUGAAGUUUACUAUUCUGUGGAUAAAGAUUGGUCAGUUGCCAGAGUUCUAUCGGAGCAAAACAGACGGCUACCAAUAAUUGGUAUGCAGCUGCUUUUGUACCCUGCGUAUCUUUUGGUCGGUAUACUGAAUGAUGGCGAUGUUUCUAGGUUAUUGUCAUAACCUGUUAUUGGACACCUCUGAUGUUUUAAGCCCCUCGGCAAAAAGGAGCCGUCCACUAAUCCUUUGUCCUAGAAUAUGUAGAGUGGUAAGUAACCAACCUGAAUGACGGGAGGAUCAUUGUGGGCCAAUGCCAGGAGGCAAUUAGAUAAUCAGAUCAUGACAUGAAGACUUUUGAAGGAAGAGGCCAUGCUGCAACGGAUCUCCAUGGAUCAUGUCGCCCCUUGAUUGAGUACAGUCAUUAUCCAAUCACACAAGAUAAAAACUCAAAAGUUGUGAUUGUGGGUGUUGACAGUGUUCAAGUUCAUGCGGAUUUGGUUCAUGGAUUGGGCAGUCAACGGCACGAGAUUUGGAGAGAUUCAUUUUUAAUCCCACAUGCAGCAACCCCAAAUCACAACAAUUGCAAGAAAGCUCUUAAGCUCAUAUCCAUCCUGCAAGGACUGGGGGGCAUUUCAUGCAUGGACUUUUUUUUUGCUACUGCUGCGUUAUUUGAAUUAACCUGACAAAUGUGGAAAUAUUUUAAAAAUAUAACCUGAAAACAGCCGAAGUUAAAUUCGUUUAUCUUGGCGUGCACUUUUGUUCGGGUCUUGUGCACAUGUAAAUCAUCAAAUGUGUAAUGUGUUGUCUUUCUGUAUCACCGUGUAUGUGCUUCAGAACAGUGAAGAGAAAGGCCAAAGGGUAAAAUUUGUCUA